UUUUCCAUUCGUCACUGGAUGGCCCUCUGGCACUAAGGCACCCGAAAACGGGAGAGAUGAUCUACUGCUGAGUGAAGAAUUUAUUCGAAAUUGUGUGGAAAUGUUCUCUGUUCCAGCAAAGGGAUUGAUUGUCGUGUUUUUGAAAAUUUCAGCUGUUUAAGGUAAGCAAUUUAAAUUUUUUAAUUAUUGAGUUUUAAAUUUUAGGCUCUUUUAUAGUAUAUGUGAUAUAUAUAUUUGCUUAGUCUUCGUAUUCUGUGUUUCUUAAUGCUUCUUUUUCUCAUUUUUGGUUUUUGUCCAGUGUGGUUUGCGCUAAUUUCCACCUUUUAAAAUGAAACAAUCAAAUUAUAAAGUUUACUUAUAUUCUACAAGUUGAAUGCAAAAGUCAUAACAUCAAAUGUUAACAUAAAAGAUGACUUCUGGCGAGAGACCAGUCCAAAAGGCCAAGGUAUGCCAUUGUGAUACUCUAAUAUCAAAUAGAUAGUCAUUUAUCUCAAUAUACAACAUGAGUUCCAACUCAUUCUAAAAUGUCUGUUUACAUUUCUUUAAAAAAAUAAAAAAAUAAGUAAAAUGUUAUUAGUGAAAGGAUGUGAUUUAGAGUAGACAUCAUUUUCAUUCUACCAAUAGAGUUAUCAUUUCAUGUCUACGUUUGCAUUCUUUACAGUAUAAAUUUCUUCAUUUCUUCAUGUCUAAAUUCAUUGAAUUUUUUUUCUCUUUUGCCUAGGCUGAGAGAACUUAUUAGGAUGAGAAAAAGAAAGAUUUGUUUGAAAACUUGCGGAAGAAACAAUGAGGCGGUUGAAGUGCAGAAUGAAGGUUUACAUUAAUGCUGCUAGGCUAGAUCACUCUGUGAAAUUUUCAGUUCGAGGCGAUUGGAGCUGAAUAUGGAUAAGUUUUUGAGACUUUUAGACUUUUUGGACCUCUCAAGAUUGAUGUGGUAAGGAGUUUAUAGAGUUACACAUAUAGUAGUCGAAUUGUUCUCUAUGUUGUGUUGAAUCUAAUUUACUGGUAAUACUUUCUGCUUGGUAUUUACUAUGCACGUGCAUAUUCAUGUUAUACUAAAUGUAA